ACACGACUCUCGGCAACGGAUAUCUCGGCUCUCGCAUCGAUGAAGAACGUAGCGAAAUGCGAUACCUGGUGUGAAUUGCAGAAUCCCGCGAACCAUCGAGUCUUUGAACGCAAGUUGCGCCCGAGGCCACUUGGCCGAGGGCACGCCUGCCUGGGCGUCACGCC
rnacentral:rRNA from 5 species